AAAAAAUGCCUUCUCCGAGGCCUCUUAACAGCCCCAACGGGACCUGUGAGUUACCUGCACCAGAAACUUCACUUCCCCACUGUUUCUCUCUUCCAGAAAACAAAGUUCAUCACAGCUCAAGGGAACACAUGGAUGUUUUCUAAUUCCUUGAAUUAUAUGGUUUUCAGGUAUGAAGGAGGUGGACGUUCUGUACAGUGGAGCCACAGCCCUCCCCACCCCCUGGGUUUCUCUGACCCUGAGACCUGAUGCACAGAGAGGUUAAGACUCACACAGCCCAUGAGCGGCGGAAGUCCCGGCACUCUGUCCUUCAAUCUGCUCAUCGCAGUCACUUCCUCCUGACCGUGGACUCUUCUUCCCAGCCUUUUCCUUCAAGCUGGAGGCCCGGAAGUGUGCAGAGGACAGUGAGGGGCCUCAAGUGUGGACAUCACAUGAGUACUGAAGAAGGACCCCUAGGGCUUCCGUGAAAAGAGGCCUCCAAUUGCAAAGCUGCUUUCUAUCAGACGAGGUCACGGACAGUAGUGAGGAGUGGCAGGCGGGAGGGGUGCCUGGCUGCCGGCCCACCCCACCCAGGACGAGGCAGCCCUCAGCGGAAUGGAAGACUCUGUGGCCAGUGCUCUUUGGGGCCUUGGCACCAGGUCCUCAGCAGCUGGGCCAGCCCUGCUACUCCCUCAUCCUGGAAGAGCCCCAGAGAAUAGGGGCCAUGCCCAUGCCCGCUGUGUCCCCUGCACCCCACGCAGGCUGGGGCACAGCAGCCACAGGACACAGGUGCGGGUGAUCAGGGUCUCGGAAUUGCUUGCUGAAUAAAUGGCUGCCUGGACAAAGGACUUUGUCCCUCUGGCCCCCUCACGUGGACUCUCUCUGGUAAUAAGGCCGUUGCUGAGCAGCGAUGAGAGGCUGAGGAGCAUAGACGGGCACCAGGCUGCCUAGGUUCAGAUGCCAGCUGCCCCCGCUCUUUGCUGUGUAACGUUGGGGGUACUCCCUCAGCCUCUCUGUUUCUGCUGUGUAAGUGAGGAUGGCUGUGCUCCUGCCUCCCUGCAGAACUGUUGGCAGGUGAAGCAGGCAACACUUAAGAGCUGCAGUGUGGGCCCUCAUGCAGAUUUUAAUAAAAAUAACUCCCCUUCCCCUCGGUGUCCCCUUCCUCCCUCUAAAGGCUGGUAAAGAAAGGCAGGGAGGAGCGCAUUUG
rnacentral:lncRNA from 1 species